GUCCAUUUUUUCUGCAAGGUUGUCGAGCACUUGCUCCUUUUUAUUUCCUCGAAAUAUCUCUAUUUUUACAUAGCCCAUGCCUCUAAUGCAAUAAUACUUCGGAAGAGUGAAUCUUACUGAAAUAAUGUCUUGAUCUUAGGAGCAUGAUAAAUCUCUCAACAAGGGUCUAACUCAUUUUGAACAAACUCAAUACAGAGCAGAUAGCUUUUAUAAUCAUAAUUAAUAUUUUUAGUUUUAUCAGGCAUAUAAAACACUGAGGAUGGUAGCUAG
rnacentral:lncRNA from 1 species